rnacentral:rRNA from 1 species
UACGGAGGAGGCAAGCGUUAUCCGGAAUUAUUGGGCGUAAAGCGUCCGCAGGUGGCACUUCAAGUCUGUCGUCAAAGACUGGGGCUUAACUCUGUAAAGGCGGUGGAAACUGUAGGUCUUGAGUAUGGUAGGGGUAGAGGGAAUUCCCGGUGUAGCGGUGAAAUGCGUAGAUAUCGGGAAGAACACCAGUGGCGAAAGCGCUCUACUGGGCCAUAACUGACACUGAGGGACGAAAGCUAGGGGAGCGAAAGGG